GAGAGAUGGCUCAGAGGUUAAGA
rnacentral:piRNA from 1 species